UAAGGAGUCAAAAGUUAAUUUGGGAACUCAUGAAAGACUUCCGCUCAGUGAGCAUAUCAGGUAUUAUGCCUCUAAAUAUGUUUUCCUUUUUCCUUUUGCUUCCUAUGUACGACGGAGGGGUAACCAGUGAUGGCAAAGAGGAAAACUGAGGAAAUGUGAGACAUGUGACACAUUUGAUGUCCCUGGCUGCUCGGUACAAUAUGGCUCCGAGUGUCCAUCUUCAAGUUGUAGAACGAUCAAGUCACGUGACACCAAGCCCUCAAGUUCAGCUACUCACCAGACAGUCGCCAGGAGAAUGAAAGUCACUGACCUCCAAGAUUCGUGAGGACAUCCACUGACGUUACAAAUGUCACAGCAUCAUGAGCCUCAAUGAAAUUAGCCUGUGUUGAGGACGUAAUACUGUUGUCAUGCAAAUGAGGCACUGCUCACACCGCCACCCACGAUUGCAGGGCCGUUGCUGCGUAUGGCUUUUAUGAUCAUGAUGUCUCGGAGCACCGCCAUACUCUACUGAAGCAAGUAUGAGCUUGAAGCUUUGCCCAAGCCCUAACCAUAACCACAAAGUUCGCCUUCAACCCAACCUUAACCCCUAAUUCCAAAUCUCAUACUCCUUACCCUCCACUUUAUCCGCAAUUUUAAGACCAACCGUAACAGGAACUCUAACCCCUAACCUUAACCCCAACCAAUAUCCCAAAACCCCAUAAAGAAAAUCAAAUGGUGACUUUUAUUUUCACUAAGCAAGGCAGUCCUCUCCCACCAAGCAGCCAAAUUUCACGUGUCAAAUAGGAUCCAUGUACGUGGUGCAUGUAGUGGACACACUGCCAAACACAACUACAACAAUGACCACAUUCACAGAAAAAAAAAAAAAAAAAAA